ACUUACUUUAAGGCUAUCAUUAAGAGCCUCUUGAUGGCCAUAAACGGCUGUCCCUUUUAGGACUAUUUAUAGUCAUAGCUAUUUUGUAUUCAAAAACAGAUUUCAUAAAAUAAAAACAAAAUUGCUUGUUAGCAUACAAAUUCCGUUAUUAUUCGAAUGCGUUUUGAAUAUUAACUCGUUCGUUUCUCAAUAGGUCUUGAGAUCGUUCACCGUUGUCGGAUUAUAGGUCUAAUUCUACAACUCUAUUUCGGUUCUAUCAUUUUUAUUUCGUAUCAAUUAUCUAAUUGAUUUUUACAAAUCUAAGUGGAUAAUUAUUGUUCCCUUUGAUAAAAAAAAAAAAAAAAGUGGGUGAUUACUGUUACUGGUUUCAAAUUAAAGUGUGAGAGUGAAAAUAUUCAUUGAAUUAGCAUUUGCAGUUUGGUUUAAAAAAUUGGUAUAACAUUAAUGGCGAAUUCAAAAUUUCACGAUGAUACGGAUUGUUGAUUCCGACAUUUUUUUGAAUCUACCCAAGAUGAUUCCUCUACAUGUUCUUUAAUAUUCCUCUACAUGUUCUUUAUUAUUCCUGUACAUGUUCUUCGUUAUUCAUCUACAUGUUCUUUGGUAUUAGUAAAAAAAUCAUCCUACAAUUAAUAUUCCUCUACAUGUUCUUUGGUAUACCUCUAUAUGUUCUUUAAUAUUCCUUUACAUGUUCUUUAUUAUUUCUCUACAUAUUCUUCUGUAUUCAUCUACAUGUUCUUCGAUAUUCAUCUACAUGUUCUUCGAUAUUCAUCUACAUGUUCUUUGGUAUUAGUAAAGGGUAAAGUAAAUCGUGAUUUUUUUUUAAUAAAAAAAACCAUUAUUAAACUGACUCCUAGAUUUGGGGGCUGACCAAUAUUUAUCUUUUUUUUGUUGAAACUGACUAUAUUUUACCCGUGUUCUACAUAAUUAUACCUUAUGUUCAAUCUACCUUCUAAGUUAGAUACGGGGUGUACAAUGAGCACUGUGCACCCGGGUGUAUAAACCAAUUAUUGAUAUUAAUUCAAGUAUUAACCUAGGAUUAUGAAUUAAAGAAUUCUAGAUUGUUAAUUGCAAAAAUAAAAGAGUAAGGAAUUAUUUUGGUCGAAUUGCUUGAUGAAUUGUUGUAGAAUUGCUUGAUGAUUUCUUGACGAAUUGCUUGAUGAAUUGGUGAAGAAUUGCUUGAUGAAUUGCUUGACGAAUUGCUGUAUAUUUGUUGUCGAAUUGCUUGAUGAAUUGUUGUAGAAUUGCUGUAAGCCCGUGGAGAAAGAUGAUUUCUCCGCGCUAGUAAUAGAAAGGUUAAUGGAGAGAAAAUACAGAAACAGGAAACACAUAUAUUUAAAAAUUUGAGUUCACCUCAUGAGCUCCUUUGUAAUAUCCGAUAAUAUGAUAUAACAUUAAAAUAAAGAUAAAUAAUGCACUGAAAGGAUAAACAAACUACACAAAGACAUUUAGAGUGAAUUUAAGAACUGCUAUAAUUAGAAAAUAGAGAUUCACUGAUAAAAGAAACUAUCACAUCCUAUGGUUGUUGGUUACAGGCAACUAAAAACUAUAAUGGUACUGGAUAAAAUUAACACGUUAGAUCAGCAAAUGGUUCAAUAGAAUUAGUAAAUUAUUGUUUCUCUUAUUCAAAUAAUUUAUCUAUUUGGUUUUCACCAUUUGUGUUCUUCUGUUUCUGUUUUAGGUCACGUUUAAAAUGUUAGACCUAUAUUUUAAAACUGUACAAAAGCUUUCGUUAUGUGACUGGAUUUCCAAAUGUUACCUCCCUCACUGGCUCACUUGCUGAUCACUUUAAGUUAGUGCAAAAUUGGUCUCGUAAUUUGAUUUCAACAGUCUAGUCUCAUCUAUUAGUAAGCAUUGAACCUGUUAGAGGAUGUGUCUUUGGUUUUCAGGUUUCAUUGGGAAGUUGUUGAUUUUUUUGUCGUUGUCAAAAAUCUUAUUUUGAAUUGAUCCACGACAAUCCUAUUAUAUGUCCUUAUAUGGCUUUUGAAUUUUAUACUAAACAGAAUCAGAAAAGAACCCUAGUUAAGUAAUCUUGUACAACUCUCCAAUGAAGGUGCAACUUUUAAGAUUGGCGAACUAAUUUACAUCUUUAUUUUUAAACUACUUGAUUCAAUGUUGCAUGCACAUGUAAAACAUGAUAGUCAGGACUAAGGAGACCUUGGAGGUGAUUCUAGCCCUCAUGAGGGCUGCAAGUUCUGCUGACUGUUUCUACUACUAUGAGUGUCAUCUUUCUCAUAUUCCUCAUGAUCUAUUACCUUUAAGCCAGAGUCAUCUUGCCCAUCCCCUGCACCCUCUACCAUAUUUUGUUUUUGUACAGGCUCAACCUUUGGCUGAUCAUCGGCUGGUUUUAGUUCGACAGUAAUGGUCGAUUAUUUCACUCUUUCUGCUGCAAGUUCCUGUAUUCAGAUGCUAAUGUUCCUUGGAAAGAACUGUCAAGUACUUUCAAGAAACCUGUCCAGACAACACAGAAGAUAAAAGGAAGAGCUUUUGGUUUCACUCAAAGGUGUACGGAAAUAAAACAAGAGCAGCUUGACGCUAUUAAUCUCCACUAGUGCCUUUAGGUCAACAAAUCUCACAAAUUCACGAACAAAUUAUCAAAUUACAUGCCCUUCUUCUUUCAUUAUUUCUCUACUUACACUACUGUCUAGUAUAAUGUUUUAAUGACUAUUUGUCUUGUAACAGUAACGGCUCGUGUGCAGUCCUUGCCACCUACUGCUCUUGUUGUUUCUUUGUUGUUUGUUGGUGAUCUACCCCUGCUGUCAGCCUUUGGGCCUCUCUUGGGUCGCCUACGAUACACAAUGGGGUCAUAACAAUAUUGUUGUCAUUAUCCCAAUCAUCGGGUCACUAUCACUUAUUAUAGUCAUAAUAGCUAUAUUAUUCAUUUUACAGAGGAAGAAGCAGAAAAAGUCUGCUACAAACCUUUACAAGGAAGAAAUUGAAACACUCCUUACAGUAUAAUCUUGGAACCGUCAAGGUUGGAAAAAAUGGUUUUUCUAAUGACAAUUAUCUCAGAGAAGGUAGAUUUGGCACAGUUUAUAAGAUGUUUACUGCUUUGAGGGAGAUUCAAAAAGAAAGGGGCGUUAACCCAACUGACCUUGAGGAGAAUCUUGCUCAGGCAAUAUUUGACUUUGAGACCAACAACAAGGAUAUGGGAACUGAACUGAAGGAUCGAUUUAUGAACUCUGUUGCCCAGGUUGACAUUUCAAACAACAAGAAGGCUAUUGUUUUCCAUGUUCCAUACAGAUUGAGAAAAGCUAUAGCAAGGAAUCGCGGUGAAGAGGCUAGCAAGGAAUUCAGUUCAGGGAGACGUACUUACAGUUCGAAAAUGAAAUUCUGAUAUUAGCUAAGAUUCAGGACAUAAAUCUAGUGAAAAAAAAGGAUUCUGCUUGGAAGAAGAAGAAAUGCUUCUGAUUUAUGAGUUUGUGACCAAUAAAGCCUUGACAAUUUUCUGUUUGGUACGUAGCAUUCCUGUAAAUACCAAAGGAAGAGAAAAAAGAAACAAAUUAAGGCAUUAUGUAAAUAUUUAAUUUUUUUCCCUUUCCAUAUUAUAAACGGAUAGGAGUAUCUUGUAAAACAUAUGUUACUUUUUAAUAUAUUUAAUUUUGAAUAUUAUAUAAUUUUUAAUAUAUUUAA